GGAUUGGUUGAGAUUUGUCAGAAGUUGUCCCAGGACCUGCUGUGAUCUCAGUGUACUAGCGGGAAGCUGUCUCCUGCUAAUGAUGCCCCUCUUGUUGCUACUGUCCGUGAUCCCUUGUCCAAGCUACAACAUCCAUGUCAUCCUGCAAGAGCUCUUUGGUCUCUUUUCAGAGUUAGCAGGGAGUGAUAAAUUGGUGUCCUGCCAGCUCACAGAUGAAGGGUUGCUGAACCUGUACAGUGCGCAUGUGCUGCACAACCGCUGCUGUUGUAUCACCAGUGUGACACGUCUUAUGCUGCUGCUGCUGAUUUUCCUCUGUAAACCCUCUCUGUUUCUCCUCUGAACUGUGAGACAUACUCUCUGCCAUCCUGGAUAGUCUGCUGGGUGCCAAAGUGCUGUUGAAGUGGCUGGAUUGCUGGCUAUAAUGGCAAGUAGCAGCAUCAGUGGGGAUAGGAGGGAGGCUGAUGAGGUCUCAUGUCUUGGAAUGAGUUAAACAAGCUGGUGAAUGUGUUUGCAUGUGAACACAAACCUGUUUUUUCUUUUUUUUCCUAGCAGACUUGUC
rnacentral:lncRNA from 1 species